GCUCUCGUCGUUCAACGGAUAGGACACUGGUUUGCGGAACCGGCAAUGUAGGUUCGAUUCCUGCCGAGAGCA
rnacentral:tRNA from 1 species